AGGAUGUAGCUCAGUGGUAGAGCACUUGCCUAGCAUAUAGGAGCUCUUGGGUUCGAUUCCCAGUAAUACUG
rnacentral:tRNA from 1 species